rnacentral:rRNA from 1 species
AGAGGAAACUCUGAUGGAGGCUCGAAGGGGUUCUGACGUGCAAAUCGAUCUUCAAACUUGGGGUAUAGGGGCGAAAGACUAAUCGAACCAUCGAGUAGCUGGUUCCCUCCGAAGUUUCCCUCAGGAUAGCUGGAACUUAAGAAGAAGUAGUUUUAUCAGGUAAAGCGAAUGAUUAGAGGCUUUGGGGAAGAAACUUCCUCGACCUAUUCUCAAAACUUUUAAAUAGGGUAAGAUUUGAAGGAUACUUAGGUGAUCUUUCAAUCUCUUGAAUAUAAAGUUCUUAGUGGGCCAUUUUUGGUAAGCAGAACUGGCGAUGUGGGAUGAACCGAACGUUAAGUUAAAAGUGCCAAAUAGUACGCUCAUGAGAUACCAUAAAAGGUGUUGGUUCAUUUUGACAGCAGGACGGUGGCCAUGGAAGUCGGAACCCGCUAAGGAGUGUGUAACAACUCACCUGCCGAAUGAACUAGCCCUGAAAAUGGAUGGCGCUUAAGCGUAUAACUUAUACUUAACCCUUAUCUGAAUCAUCAUAGCGGAUAAGGAGUAGGAGGGC